rnacentral:rRNA from 1 species
UACGUAGGGAGCAAGCGUUGUCCGGAAUCAUUGGGCGUAAAGCGCGCGUAGGUGGCCUCAUAAGUCCGCUGUGAAAGUCAAAGGCUCAACCUUUGAAAGCCGGUGGAUACUGUGAGGCUAGAGUACGGAAGAGGCGAGUGGAAUUCCUGGUGUAGCGGUGGAAUGCGCAGAUAUCAGGAGGAACACCAAUAGCGAAGGCAGCUCGCUGGGACGCUACUGACACUGAGGCGCGAAAGCGUGGGGAGCGAACAGG